rnacentral:rRNA from 1 species
AUGGCCCACUCCCUUUGGUUGACUUAUCAGUGUGUGCUUUUUGUGAUCUUCCCUUGCCAACUCUGUGAGAUGGUCACGUUGAAACGGAAAAGGGAUCAUUGUAAAGUGAUCAAGACCAAGAGCGUCCAGUACAUGCCCUUCUUCCUGUCGCUGGUGAGCUUCCUCAACGGCAUCUGUUGGACGUCCUAUGCUCUCAUCAAAUUCGACCUCUACGUCACGAUCCCCAAUGGCCUCGGUCCGCUGUUCGGCCUCGUCCUAUACACCUGCUACUACAGGCCAACCCCCUAG